rnacentral:rRNA from 1 species
AUUAAACGCUGGCGGCAUGCCUUACACAUGCAAGUCGAACGGCAGCACGGGGGCAACCUUGGUGGCGAGUGGCGAACGGGUGAGUAAAGCAUCGGAACGUGCCCUGGAGUGGGGGGUAACGUAGCGAAAGUUACGCUAAUACCGCAUAUUCUGUGAGCAGGAAAGCAGGGGAUCGCAAGACCUUGCGCUCUGGGAGCGGCCGAUGUCGGAUUAGCUAGUUGGUGGGGUAAAGGCCUACCAAGGCGACGAUCCGUAGCGGGUCUGAGAGGAUGAUCCGCCACACUGGGACUGAGACACGGCCCAGACUCCUACGGGAGGCAGCAGUGGGGAAUUUUGGACAAUGGGCGAAAGCCUGAUCCAGCCAUGCCGCGUGAGUGAAGAAGGCCUCGGUUGU